AUACGUAGGUGACAAGCGUUAUCCGGAUUUACUGGGCGUAAAGGGCGUGUAGGCGGUCUUGCAAGUCAGAAGUGAAAUUCCUGAGCUCAACUCGGGCGCUGCUUCUGAAACUGCAGGACUUGAGUGCUGGAGGGGAUAGCGGAAUUCCUAGUGGAGCGGUAAAAUGCGCAGAUAUUAGGAAGAACACCGGUGGCGAAGGCGGCUAUCUGGACAGUAACUGACACUGGGGCGCGAAAGCGUGAGGUGCAAACAGGAUUAGAUCCCCUGUUAGUCCACGCCGUAAACGAUGAAUACUAGGUGUAGGGGGUAUCGACUCCCUCUGUGCCGCAGUUAACACAAUAAGUAUUCCGCCUGGGGAGUACGGCCGCAAGGUUGAAACUCAAAUGAAUUGACGGGG
rnacentral:rRNA from 1 species